AUCCAAUUGACGAGUCCUGAAUAGGACGAAACGCAUGUCUUGAAU
rnacentral:hammerhead_ribozyme from 1 species